rnacentral:rRNA from 1 species
UACGGAGGGUGCAAGCGUUGUCCGGAUUUAUUGGGUUUAAAGGGUGCGUAGGCGGCUUUGUAAGUCAGUGGUGAAAUAUGGCAGCUCAACUGUCAGGGUGCCAUUGAUACUGCGGAGCUUGAGUACAGAUGAGGUAGGCGGAAUUGACGGUGUAGCGGUGAAAUGCUUAGAUAUCGUCAAGAACACCGAUAGCGAAGGCAGCUUACUGGGCUGUAACUGACGCUGAGGCACGAAAGUGUGGGGAUCAAACAGG